GUCCCACCCAGGGGCAAUGGUGGUCGAAGCGCUCAAUGCAAUUGUCGCAUAUGGAGCAAUGAGAGCAACGUGGUGGCCGAUAUAGCAUACAUGUUUUGCAGUAUUUUACUUUGACAACUAUUCCAUUGACAGUAACAUUUUUCAUAGGCGGUAAACUGAUAGGACCAGUCUGACUUCCUAAACAACUUGUCGAGAUGCUAG
rnacentral:misc_RNA from 1 species